rnacentral:rRNA from 1 species
UGGGGAAUAUUGCACAAUGGGCGCAAGCCUGAUGCAGCCAUGCCGCGUGUAUGAAGAAGGCCUUCGGGUUGUAAAGUACUUUCAGUCGGGAGGAAGGUGUCAAGGUUAAUAACCUUGGCAAUUGACGUUACCGACAGAAGAAGCACCGGCUAACUCCGUGCCAGCAGCCGCGGUAAUACGGAGGGUGCAAGCGUUAAUCGGAAUUACUGGGCGUAAAGCGCACGCAGGCGGUCUGUCAAGUCGGAUGUGAAAUCCCCGGGCUCAACCUGGGAACUGCAUUCGGAACUGGCAGGCUAGAGUCAUGUAGAGGGGGGUAGAAUUCCAGGUGUAGCGGUGAAAUGCGUAGAGAUCUGGAGGAAUACCGGUGGCGAAGGCGGCCCCCUGGGCAAAGACUGACGCUCAGGUGCGAAAGCGUGGGGAGCAAACAGG